GGCUGGUCCAAAGGUAGUGAGUUAUCUCAAUUGAUUGUUGACAGUCAGUUACAGAUCAAACUUCUCAUUCUACUCUUUCCCCCUUCCCACUACUGUACUUGACUAGUCAAAA
rnacentral:Y_RNA from 1 species